UGGAGGUCUAGGUAUUAUGAUAACUAGAGGUCUUGGUAAGGUCCAGUAUAUAAUAUAAUAUAUGGUACAGUAUAUAGUAUAACAUACCAUACAAUAUAUAGUCUAGUAUAGGGAAUACAGACUGAAAGGAGGUGGGUAACAUCUAAGGCUCUUCAUCCGGUUGUUGAGAGACGGUUCUUGAACUGCCCGGUCUCGACACCGGAUACCUAACCACCAUCGUAGUGCGGUCGGCCGCGAUAAGGGUCCGACUGGACCCCGCUGAUUCUCAUUGGUUGUUCAUGUUUCUUUUCGUGCUGUGGAAGCUCCGCACCAGGCGGACUAAGUUUUUCUCGUGUUUUCCUCUUCUCUGAAGGGAGAAGAGUUGCUGGUUGCUUUCUGUAGUCGACAAUAGUAUCACGCCAAAGCUGCAGAGGCGGCGUGGUGGUUGUGCGGCAAGUACCCAAAACGCACGUAUUGUGUCGAUCACGGUGGAGCUGCAUCGAGCUGGCUGAUCAUCAUCAGCUCGAGUCUUUGGGUUUGAUUUCCUUUUUGUUGUCUGUGUUUUCUUCUCCCUCGUUUGGUGGUUGUGCCGAUGCUGCGGAGCUGCAAACCACUAUCGUAUUGUGGCGCUGCUUGUGCAAGCUCGGAAGCUGGUUGUAGACUGCAUGUAUUCUCGCAAGGUUGGAGUUUGUUGGGAGUGUUGAAGACCUCAUUGUACGUCAAGAGCUGUGCGUGGGGUUCAUUUCAUCCCUUCGUCGGUGACAGCUAAUUUUUGCUGGUUCUGUUGGAGUGCGACAAUAUUGCUUGGUUUAUCUUCCUUGUGGUUUCCUCUGGCCUUGUCCCUGCGGUGUGGCGAAAGGUUCUGCUUGUUUGCCUUAGGCUCUACUUCAAGCUUCCAAUCUUGCUCGUCAUUGUGCGGUUCAUGGUUUUGAUGAUCCAACUACCAUCAUGAUUUUUUCAUUCUUCUACCACUCCCAUCAUGUCUGUGGUCGUCGUCUUUGCGCCCUCGCUGUUGUUUGCUGCUACCUUCCACAAGGAAUAAAUCAGAGGAGUGUGAUAAUUCCAUUUUUCAUCGCGUUACAAUUCAGCCCAGCUAGUGUCGUCUUCGACAGUGUACUUACGUUGUAGCACCAGCGACGAUUUUCCUCCCAUUGGUUGUUCACGGUGGUUGGUUGAAGCUGGAUCUUACGUCGACAACAUUCCCUUCUGCAAUUCACUUGUAUUUCGAGCUUAUGGUUUCCCUUUUUUGCGGUUCUACAAUUGGAUUGGCUGGACUAUACUAUGUGAUAGGGUGGCUUGGCUGUGGAGACUUGAGGCGGAUCCAGGCUAGAGACUGAGCGUUGAAGAAGACUUCGUUGGUUGAAGUCUAGGAACAUCAAACUAGCGGAACUAGCAAAUGAACUUUUGAGGUCCAAAUUCCCAAUGAAAGUGGGGGUCCGGUCAAGGACAAAGAGAAGCUGUCAUCUUGGAUUGGAACAACAGUGCGGUAUUUCCUGUCGGUGGCAGUAGGGAAGAGAACAUCCAGGCGCUCGUGCGUAUGUGUGUGCAUUGGAUGAUUGCGCAACUGUACACCAAAUUUCAAGAUCAAAGAAUUAUGCUUUGUAGAGUCGCAAUCAUCUUUCUGGUGAAGCUCAAGGCACAUAAGUGAACUGCAUGGCGCUUCCUGAUAGCAACUUGAUUGUUAGACAUUAGAAGUGUAGAUGCUGUCGACAAUGGUCUCUUGCCCGAGUUUGUUGAUCUUCAUUUUGAAGCUAAGAUUUUGGAGAAGGGCUAGAAUUAGGAAGGCAGGCUCAUCAUGUAUAGUCCACCAAUUUAGAACCACCGUCUACUCCCACAUGAUCCUCGAAGUUUCACUGUGGUGCUUCAGAGCAUCCUUUUGAAGGCUCUCAUCACCAUGUAUUGAAUUCAGUAGAGGGUCAUCAGGAGGUGUUCAAGAUUAUCAACAAGGGCGUUGCAAUUCACAGGUUGUACAUCUCAAUUGUGUCAGUUUUUUUAUAAAAAAAAGAAAAUCCGACUUGUUCAUUAGACUCCAUUUAUUGAGUUUAAGUGUGGCCAAGAAUUGCUAAUGACAAAAUAUUAAAGAAGUGGAUGAAGCAAGGUCAAAUCGGAUGAAAUUUGAUGGAUGAAAAUUGAUUAAGUAGAUGAAUUUUUAUUUGUGGAUAAAAAUUCAAUUGUGGAUGAGAAUUUGUCCU
rnacentral:lncRNA from 1 species